UACGGGGGGAGCAAACGUUGCUCGGAAUUACUGGGCGUAAAGGGCGCGUAGGCGGAUAGUUUAGUCAGAGGUGAAAGCCCAGGGCUCAACCUUGGAAUUGCCUUUGAUACUGGCUAUCUUGAGUUCGGGAGAGGUGAGUGGAAUGCCGAGUGUAGAGGUGAAAUUCGUAGAUAUUCGGCGGAACACCAGUGGCGAAGGCGACUCACUGGCCCGAUGCUGACGCUGAGGCGCGAAAGCGUGGGGAGCAAACAGG
rnacentral:rRNA from 1 species